UACGAAGGGGGCUAGCGUUGCUCGGAAUUACUGGGCGUAAAGCGCGCGUAGGCGGCUUUGUAAGUUAGAGGUGAAAGCCCGGGGCUCAACCCCGGAACUGCCUUUAAGACUGCAUCGCUUGAAUCCGGGAGAGGUGAGUGGAAUUCCGAGUGUAGAGGUGAAAUUCGUAGAUAUUCGGAAGAACACCAGUGGCGAAGGCGGCUCACUGGACCGGUAUUGACGCUGAUGUGCGAAAGCGUGGGGAGCAAACAGG
rnacentral:rRNA from 1 species